CCUACGGGAGGCAGCAGUGAGGAAUAUUGGUCAAUGGACGAGAGUCUGAACCAGCCAAGUAGCGUGAAGGAUGACUGCCCUAUGGGUUGUAAACUUCUUUUAUAUGGGAAUAAAAUGUUCCCCGUGUGGGAUUUUGUAUGUACCAUAUGAAUAAGGAUCGGCUAACUCCGUGCCAGCAGCCGCGGUAAUACGGAGGAUCCGAGCGUUAUCCGGAUUUAUUGGGUUUAAAGGGAGCGUAGGUGGAUUGUUAAGUCAGUUGUGAAAGUUUGCGGCUCAACCGUAAAAUUGCAGUUGAAACUGGCAGGCUUGAGUACAGGAGAGGUAUGCGGAAUUCGUGGUGUAGCGGUGAAAUGCUUAGAUAUCACGAAGAACUCCGAUUGCGAAGGCAGCUCACUGGACUGCAACUGACACUGAGGCUCGAAAGUGUGGGUAUCAAACAGGAUUAGAUACCCCAGUAGUC
rnacentral:rRNA from 1 species